rnacentral:rRNA from 2 species
ACUCCUACGGGAGGCAGCAGUGGGGAAUAUUGCACAAUGGGCGAAAGCCUGAUGCAGCAACGCCGCGUGAGGGAUGACGGCCUUCGGGUUGUAAACCUCUUUUAGCAGGGAAGAAGCGAAAGUGACGGUACCUGCAGAAAAAGCGCCGGCUAACUACGUGCCAGCAGCC